UACGUAGGGCGCAAGCGUUGUCCGGAAUUAUUGGGCGUAAAGAGCUCGUAGGCGGCUUGUCACGUCGGGUGUGAAAGCCCGGGGCUUAACCCCGGGUCUGCAUUCGAUACGGGCAGGCUAGAGUGUGGUAGGGGAGAUCGGAAUUCCUGGUGUAGCGGUGAAAUGCGCAGAUAUCAGGAGGAACACCGGUGGCGAAGGCGGAUCUCUGGGCCAUUACUGACGCUGAGGAGCGAAAGCGUGGGGAGCGAACAGA
rnacentral:rRNA from 1 species